AUCGUUCGACAUCACGUUCAACCUUUGUUUUAGCCUGCGCGGCAGGCGGUAUUUCUACAGGCAGAGAAAAUUAGGAAGGCAAAGGAAAUACCGUCUGCCGCAAAACUAGGGGUUUUUGAAUUACCCGUCCGCUGGUGAACGGGAAAAACGGAUUGGUUAGUAUUUUUAUGUAGUUUUUUAUUUAUAAACUUUGCCGCCAAAAAUUUAUACAACGACAACGGCGCAGGUACAUCAACACAGCGUCAACCAAUUACGUUGAUGCCCUGGUUCUACAGACAGUACUAACAAUACAUCCACUCGAACUCGAAACGUACACAACACAUCUAUCUAUUUACAUAUAAUUACAGUUCAAA